rnacentral:lncRNA from 1 species
GGCGCCUCGCAAAGUCUCGCACCAUUCCGAGUCCGGCGGACGAAGUCGGCCAGCCCCACCCCCCAAGGCUAUAGCCCACCCGUUUUUGUGGCCUUUUUCCGCUGGACGAAUUUGGCGCCCCGGCCUACAGGCGGUUAUUUUUAGGCACGCCUCUGCCCGCGUCCUAUUUUUGGCACACGGAGGUGCCUCGCAAAGUCUCGCGCCAUUCCGAGUCCGACGGACGAAGUGGGCCGGCCCCACCCCCCAAGGCUAUAGCCCACCAUUUUUUGUGGGCUUUUUCCGCUGGACGAACUUGGCACCCCGGCCUUCGGGCGGUUUUUUGGGCGCGGCUGUGCCCGCGGCCACUUUUGGCACACGGAGGCACCUCGUAAAGUCUCACACCAUUCCGAGUCUGGCGGACGAUGUUGGCCAGCCCCACCCCCCAAGGAUAUAGUCCACCCGUUUUUGUGCUCUUUUUCCGCUGGACGAACUUGGCGCCCCGGCCUUCGGGCGGUUAUUUUUGGGCGCGGCUGUGCCCGCGGCCACCUUUGGCACACGGAGGCGCCUCGUAAAGUCUCGCUCCAUUCCGAGUCCGGCGGACGAUGUUGGCCAGCCCCACCCCCCAAGGAUAUAGUCCACCCGUUUUUGUGGCCUUUUUCCGCUGGACGAACUUGGCGCCCCGGCCUUCGGGCGGUUAUUUUUGGCUACGGCUAUGCCCGUGGCCUACUUUUGGCACACGGAUGCGCCUCGCAAAGUCUCGCGCCAUUCCGAGUCCGGCGGACGAAGUUGGCCAGCCCCACCCCCCAAGGCUAUAGCCCACCCGUUUUUGUGGCCUUUUUCCGCUGGACGAAUUUGGCGCCCCGGC